rnacentral:rRNA from 1 species
AUUGAACGCUGGCGGCAUGCCUUACACAUGCAAGUCGAACGGCAGCACGGGUGCUUGCACCUGGUGGCGAGUGGCGAACGGGCGAGUAAUAGAUCGGAACGUACCUUAUCGUGGGGGAUAACGCAGCGAAAGGUGUGCAAAUACCGCAUAAGCACUGAGGGGGAAAGCGGGGGAUCGAAAGACCUCGGGCGAUUCGAGCGGACGAAGCCUGAUUAGCAUGUUGGUGGGGUAAAAGCCCACCAAGGCGACGAUCAGUGGCUGGUCUGAGAGGACGAUCAGCCACACUGGGACUGAGACACGGCCCAGACUCCUACGGGAGGCAGCAGUGGGGAAUUUUGGACAAUGGGGGCAACCCUGAUCCAGCAAUGCCGCGUGAGUGAAGAAGGCCUUCGGGUUGUAAAGCUCUUUUGUCAGGGAAGAAACACCGGCUCUAACACAGUCCGGGAAUGACGGUACCUGAAGAAUAAGCACCGGCUAACUACGUGCCAGCAGCCGCGGUAA